rnacentral:rRNA from 1 species
AUUGAACGCUGGCGGCAGGCUUAACACAUGCAAGUCGAGCGGGGGAAGGUAGCUUGCUACCGGACCUAGCGGCGGACGGGUGAGUAAUGCUUAGGAAUCUGCCUAUUAGUGGGGGACAACAUCUCGAAAGGGAUGCUAAUACCGCAUACGUCCUACGGGAGAAAGCAGGGGAUCUUCGGACCUUGCGCUAAUAGAUGAGCCUAAGUCGGAUUAGCUAGUUGGUGGGGUAAAGGCCUACCAAGGCGACGAUCUGUAGCGGGUCUGAGAGGAUGAUCCGCCACACUGGGACUGGGACACGGCCCAGACUCCUACGGGAGGCAGCAGUGGGGAAUAUUGGACAAUGGGGGGAACCCUGAUCCAGCCAUGCCGCGUGUGUGAAGAAGACCUUAUGGUUGUAAAGCACUUUAAGCGAGGAGGAGGCUACUCUAGUUAAUACCUAGGGAUAGUGGACGUUACUCGCAGAAUAAGCACCGGCUAACUCUGUGCCAGCAGCCGCCGUAA